AACCCCAUAUGUAGAACCUGACCGGUCAUUUAGUGCAUCUGCUGAAGGUGGCUUUUGCUUAGUGUGAUGAUCUGAGUGAAUAAGGGGAGGGCAAGUCUGGUGUCAGCCGCCGCGGUAAUACCAGCUCCUCGAGUGGUUGGGACGAUUAUUGGGUCUAAAGCGUCCGUAGCCGGCUGGAAUAGUUCUCCGUUAAACCCAACGAUCUAAUCGUUGGACUGCGGGAAUACUCUUCGGCUUGGGGGCGGGGGAAGUCGGCGGUAGUCCAGGGGUAGGGGCGAAAUCCUAUCAUCCUUGGAGGACCACCAGUGGCGAAGGCGGCCGACCAAAACGCGCCCGACGGUGAGGGACGAAAGCUGGGGGAGCGAACGGGAUUAGAUACCCCGGUAGUCCCAGCUGUAAACGAUGUGGGCUAGGUGUUGGGACGGGUACGGCCCGUCUCAGUGCCGCAGGGAAGCCGUUAAGCCCACCACCUGGGAAGUACGGCCGCAAGGCUGAAACUUAAAGGAAUUGGCGGGGGAGCACCACAAGGGGUGAAGCUUGCGGUUUAAUUGGAGUCAACACCGGGAACCUUACCAGGAGCGACAGUUGGAUGAAGGUCAGACUAAAGGUCUUACCGGACUAGCUGAGAGGAGGUGCAUGGCCGUCGCCAGUUCGUGCCGUGAGGUGUUCUCUUAAAGUGAGACAACCGAACCGAGACCCGUACCCUUAGUUGCCAGCGGAUUCCUUCGGGGAAUUUCAGGCACCACUAGGGGGACUGCCUCCGCUAAGGAGGAGGAAGGAGCGGGCCACGGCAGGUCAGUAUGCCCCGGAUCUCCUGGGCCACACGCGAGCUGCAAUGGUUGGGACAAUGGAUCCGACAUCGAAAGAUGAAGGCAAUCUUCAAACCCAACCUCAAUAGGGAUCGAGGGCUCCCCGCGGCGUGAACAUGAAUCCCUAUAAACCUGGGGUCUCGCGCGAUAUGCCUCGC
rnacentral:rRNA from 1 species